CUUUACCUGAUGCUUUAACAAAAUUUGACACUAAAACUUGAAUUGAUAGCGCUGCAUGUGACAAGGACUGCAAACUUUCUGCAUGAACCGUCUGUCUUCUUCUCCACCAAAUAUACCAAGCCGACGUCAAAAUUGUUUCUUUUAUGUACUUCACAGAUGCAUCAGUUGCAUUCUUAAUCUUUAUCUCCCGGAGGCGGGAUUCCGUUUAAAUUGUCAAUCCGAAGGGAGGCUAUCUGUCCAGCUUCAGUUGAAAACGGCAGCUAUCCUGGGACCUUGAGAUUUUCUGGGGAUGGAUUAGAGUUGCCGUAAGUGCCUUCCUGCCGUCCCUCCCGCUCCAAGCCGCCGACGCGUUCUCCCGCUCCUCUCUUUCACCGGGAAGGCGGGAAGGACCCAUGGAUCUGGGCUGAACCGUUGCAGGCUUGCAGCCGGCUUAGAUCCGGCCGGAUUCAUGCUCUUCUUGCCGGGCAGCGGGAGGGAGCACCUAACCAUCUGAGGCCCGCGAGAGGAUGAGGUGGCGGCACAGCGCUUCAACGCGCUUGCGUCCAGGGCUGCCGCUCGCCUCAGCUUGCAGGCCAGCUUACUGCCGCAUCGAGCAGCAGGAGUAAUCCUUGAAUAGUUGCAGCCAAAAGUGGGAGCAAUAAAAAUGGGAAGGAAGGCUGGCGUAAAUGAAGCAGUCUGCUCAGCAAAAUCAAGAAAUAUUUGAGCUGUGAUUUCAAGAAAAUAAAUAAAGGUAGACUUCAUCGUAACUAGCUGUCCAGGAUGUGCCAAGGUAAUCCCUCCGUCCCAAAAUUCAUGUUUUAAAUUUGUCUAAAUACAGAUAUAUCUAGUUAUGUUUUAGUACCGCUCAAAAAGAAGUUAUGUUUUAGUGUUAGAUACAUUCGUAUCUAGACAAAUUUAAGACAAGAAUUUUAAGACGGAGAAGUAUAAAAUAGCUGAUUAUUGUUACAUAUGGCUGCUCCUGCAACUCAAAACUCUGGAUAAGUACUAGGGAAUGCAAGUAAGUUUUAUCAGAGAAAGAGAACUGGAGUCCGUUGUGUUGAAGCAAGGAUACUUGAAAUGUGUAUUUGAUAAAAGUAAUGUUAGAUUUUCUUGCCAUCCUGGUAUUUUAUAUAAAAUAUGCAAAAUAACUGCAUUGCAGCAUGGAACUGAA